rnacentral:rRNA from 1 species
GAUGAACGCUGGCGGCGUGCCUAAUACAUGCAAGUCGAGCGAAUGGAUUAAGAGCUUGCUCUUAUGAAGUUAGCGGCGGACGGGUGAGUAACACGUGGGUAACCUGCCCAUAAGACUGGGAUAACUCCGGGAAACCGGGGCUAAUACCGGAUAACAUUUUGAACCGCAUGGUUCGAAAUUGAAAGGCGGCUUCGGCUGUCACUUAUGGAUGGACCCGCGUCGCAUUAGCUAGUUGGUGAGGUAACGGCUCACCAAGGCAACGAUGCGUAGCCGACCUGAGAGGGGGAUCGGCCACACUGGGACUAAGACACGGCCCAGACUCCUCCGGGAGGCAGCAGUAGGGAAUCUUCCGCAAUGGACGAAAGUCUGACGGAGCAACGCCGCGUGAGUGAUGAAGGCUUUCGGGUCGUAAAACUCUGUUGUUAGGGAAGAACAAGUGCUAGUUGAAUAAGCUGGCACCUUGACGGUACCUAACCAGAAAGCCACGGCUAACUACGUGCCAGCAGCCGCCGCGG